CCAAUAGCGCAUAUUAAAGUUGUUGCAGUUAAAAAGCUCGUAGUUGAAUUUCGGGGUCAGUAGAUUGGUCAUGCCUCCGGUAUGUACUGGUCUUACUGGCUCCUCCUUCCUGAUGAACCGUAAUGCCAUUACUUUGGUGUUGCGGGGAGACUGGACUGUUACUUUGACAACAUUAGAGUGUUUAAAGCAGGCUAACGCUUGAAUACAUUAGCAUGGCAUAAUGAAAUAGGACGUUCGAUCUUAUUUUGUUGGUUUCUAAGAUUGACGUAAUGAUUAAUAGGGAUAGUUGGGGGCAUUAGUAUUCAAUUGUCAGAGGUGAAAUUCUUGGAUUUAUUGAAGACUAACUACUGCGAAAGCAUUUGCCAAGGAUGUUUUCAUUAAUCAAGAACGAAAGUUAGGGGAUCGAAGACGAUCAGAUACCGUCGUAGUCUUAACCAUAAACUAUGCCGACUAGGGAUCGGAUGAUGUUAAUUUUUUAAUGACUCAUUCGGCGCCUUACG
rnacentral:rRNA from 1 species